rnacentral:misc_RNA from 1 species
CCCGACGACAGCAACUCUUGCUCACCAAUAAUGGGUUUGAAUUGUUCUGAAUUAUCCACAUUAUCAAGAAUAAUGAUAACUUUCCUGCAACACAUAGCAUCCUUGAUCUUCAUAACUCCCUCAUCUACAUUAUNUACAUCAUAUAUCUUUACUGAUUCCCGCUUGUGGAUAUCUGAAAGAAGCUGUUCUUGUAAGCUAUUCAUACCUUUUGGCUGUUCUGAUGUUUCUGCAACGUCCGCAAGAAAGCAGCUCCUUUCAAACUUGUCAGAGUUCUGGUUAUAAACAGUCUUUGCAAUGGUGGUCUUUCCAACCCCACCAAUCCCGUAAAGUACCAAUAUCCUAACAUUUGUCGACUCAUCUUGCAACCACUGAUUAAUCCGGCCUACAUAAUCAUCUAUUCCUGUUAAGUAGGAACCCACAUGCAGAAGCUUGCGAUCCAAUUUAUUCGCAACGAGCUUGACAAUGUUUUGAAUGAACGGUGCCUCGUACUGGUCUUUUAAA